rnacentral:lncRNA from 1 species
ACUCUCUCUCCUCUCCUCCUCUCCUCUCAAAUCUCUCUGACUUCUCUCUAAAAACCUCUCCCUUCUCUCUAACCUUUCUCCUCUUAUCUCUUUCUCCUCCUCUCUUCUUCUUCUCUACCACCGCCCGCCGCCACCACGGCCGCCGCCGCCGUUAUUUUUUUUACCCUUUUUUUCUUUUUUCUGCCUCUCCUCACCCUCCUUUUCUGGUCUCGCUGGCGGCGACGGGCGCCGCCGUCUCCGCCUCCACUCUCCUCCCACAACGAACAAAGCAAGAAAAAACAGGAGGAAGAAAAGGUAAAAACAUGAAAACCCCUCCUUCUAAUUAAUUCUUUUCGUUUUGACUUCGAUUCGGGCUUGCAUGUUGUUUGCAAACCCCGAUCUGUGGAGUUACGAUCUGAGUUUUUUUUGUUUUUAUGUUCUUUUCCUUAUUUCUGUUGUCUUGAUGUUGGUGUAUGUUUCAAUAAAGAUGGGGAUCGACGGAGCCGGAGAGGCCGAAAAAGUUUCCGUCAAAGACGGACUCGCCGGAGCAAAGGACGAGAAAGGUAAAAGGGUACUCGCUGGAGCAGAGGACGAGAAAGGUAAAAGGUUAAACCCUUCACUCAUUCUGAUUUUACUUAGUUGAUGAUGAUAGUUUUGUUUGAUUAGGUUGCUUGAACUAAAAUCUGGACUAUUUUGUUGUUAUGAUGAGUUUUAGAAAUCUGAAC